rnacentral:lncRNA from 1 species
AGGGGCAGCCCGAUCACCCCCAAACCUCCUCAGCAUCCCCACAUGGCCCCAACCUGCCAGCCUUCACCAGGCUCUUAACAAGAGGCCAGUUCUCAACCAGCCUCUCUCCUGUCCUUGAGCGGCAAGUGGGCAGCUGAGCAGAACUGUAGAAGCAGUUUGUGAACUACCUUUGGAGCCCAUAAAGUGGAGAUGAGCCCCAUGCAUGUCACUGAACUCACAACAUGGGAGCCUGGGUUAUAGAUCCACAGAAUAACCAAGACCAGCGUGGCAGGGGCCUCCAGGGGCCAAAACCUCCAGGAGAGAAGUCAGUAAAUGUUAUAGAAAGCACAGCCUGUAUCGGGAAUGGAGAUGAAAUAUUUCUUUGUUAGACAUGCCAUCAAACAGUCCCGAAGGUGAGGAAGAACACUGGUUUAUUUUCAAAUAAAUGCUCACUUGGA